ACCCGCUGAACUUAAGCAUAUCAAUAAGCGGAGGAAAAGAAACUAACAAGGAUUCCCCUAGUAACGGCGAGUGAAGCGGGAAGAGCUCAAAUUUGUAAUCUGGCACUUUCAGUGUCCGAGUUGUAAUCUCGAGAAGUGUUUUCCGCGCUGGACCGCAUACAAGUCUGUUGGAAUACAGCGUCAUAGUGGUGAGAACCCCGUAACUGAUGCGGAUGCCCAGUGCUUUGUGAUACACUUUCGAAGAGUCGAGUUGUUUGGGAAUGCAGCUCAAAUUGGGUGGUAAAUUCCAUCUAAAGCUAAAUAUUGGCGAGAGACCGAUAGCGAACAAGUACCGUGAGGGAAAGAUGAAAAGCACCUUGGAAAGGGAGUUAACAGUACGUGAAGUUGUUGGAAGGGAAACGCUUGAAGUCAGACUUGCUAUGUGGAUUUAUUCGCUUCGCAGGCCAGCAUCAGUUUCUGGGGGUGGAAAAGGGUUUGGAGAAGGUAGCAACUCCGGUUGUGUUAUAGCUCCUUGCUGGAUUCAUCUUUGGGGACUGAGGAACGCAGCGCGCUUUUUGCAAGGCUUUCGAGCUUUUCGCGCUUAGGAUGCUGGUGGAAUGGCUUUAAACGACCCGUCUUGAAACACGG
rnacentral:rRNA from 1 species